GUGCCAGCCGCCGCGGUAAGACGUAGGGGGCGAGCGUUACCCGGAAUUACUGGGCGUAAAGGGUGCGUAGGCGGCCCUUUAAGUCAGAUGUGAAAGGCCACGGCUUAACCGUGGAACUGCAUUUGAAACUGGAGGGCUUGAGUGUCGGAGAGGGUAGUGGAAUUCCCAGUGUAGCGGUGAAAUGCGUAGAUAUUGGGAGGAACACCAGUGGCGAAGGCGACUACCUGGACGAUAACUGACGCUGAGGCACGAAAGCUAGGGGAGCAAACAGGAUUAGAUACCCUGGUAGUCCUAGCCGUAAACGAUGGGUACUAGGUGUGGGUGGUUUCGAUACCAUCCGUGCCGCAGUUAACGCAUUAAGUACCCCGCCUGGGAGUACGUGCGCAAGCAUGAAACUUAAAUAAAUUGGCGG
rnacentral:rRNA from 1 species